UUCUUUCGGUAAAGUCACGUAGAAGGGACACAAUAAAAUAAUAAAAAUAUAAAACAAAUUCUCACGACGUUUCGACUGCAACACAAGCAAUCAUCAUCAGGUUGCAGGUGUGGUGUGCGAUGAUGCGUCUGGUCGCCAUACGUUCUUCAUCCGUCCCCUUGCCCCAGACGAGCGUCGUCAGUUUGGACCAUAUCACGAGAGGCCUCCACUCCUGGGACGAAUUUCGUCACAAACUGAUUUCCAGUCUAUCUUGUCUCGCUGUGGAUGCAGAGGCUCCAGAUGUGUCGAUGUUCAUCACGUUGGGAGCGCUGCCUGAUGCAUUCCCUCCUGGAGUGAGCAAAGAGUCAGGCAUUUGAAACCUCCCAAACCAAC